rnacentral:lncRNA from 1 species
AGGCUCUCUCUUCAGGGAUGACAUCAUCGGCUCACACCAGUUUUCCAGGACCACCUUCUGGAUGCCAAGGCUGCUGCUCGAGUACCUGCUGUGCACCUCUACCUCCUGGUACCCCAGCCACUCCCUCGAGUUGCCUGCGUGUUACAUGGCCUAGCCAAGGAGCAUGGAUUCCAGGAACGCACUACCAUACAGAGCAACUCCUUGUGGACCCCUCUGGGAUCAGGACAGCGAGGGACAAGCGACAAAGAGGACCAUCAGUGGCCAGCUAGUCUCUCUGGGGUUCAAACCUUGAACCAGUGCCCUAGUGAGGGGGCACUGGCCAUGGCCCUUGACCUUUGCUCUGCUUGUGUCUUGAGUCUGAGUCCUUUCCUGUACAUCUGUGCUUGUGUUCAUCUGCUAGUGAACUGGAGUGCUGCCCUCCCCGAGGGGGGUCGUCCCUUGUGACUGACCAUGCUGUCCUAACAAUGUCCUGAGCAAAAGGGUCCCUUUGGGAACCUCUCAGGAGGGGGACCCGGGUCAGGGGCGACCAGCAUCUUGCUGGCAACUCCGUGGGUGGGGUGGGGUGCUUCCUUCUGGAAUGAGCACGUGGCUGACCCCCAAAGGCAUGUCCCCUCCCCCUCCUCCACCCACCUUCUCGGAGAUGUCCCUUUUGGGGUAGUGGGGACAUUAGGAGCAACCUCCUAGGGUUGUUGUGAGAAUUAAAUGAACUGCAGCAGCCUGAGGCAGGGCUGGGCAGAGACCUCA